rnacentral:rRNA from 1 species
GACGAACGCUGGCGGCGUGCCUAAUACAUGCAAGUCGAACGCACAGUUUAUACCGUAGCUUGCUACACCAUAGACUGUGAGUUGCGAAUGAGUGAGUAACGCGUAGGUAACCUGCCUGGUAGCGGGGGAUAACUAUUGGACACGUUAGCUAAUAUCGAAUAAUAUUGAUUAUUGCAUGAUAAUUGAUUGAAUGAUGCUAUUGCAUCACUACCAGAUGGACCUGCGUUGUAUUAGCUAGUAGGUGAGGUAACGGCCCACCUAGGCGACGAUACAUAGCCGACCUGGGGGGGUGAGCGGCCACACUGGGAACUAGACAAGGGCCAGGACUCUUCGGGAGGCAGCAGUAGGGAAACUUCGGCAAUGGAGGAAAGGCUGACCGAGGAACGCCGCGGGAGGGAAGAAGGUUUUCGGAUCGGAAAGCCUUGUUUUAAGGGAAGAACGGGUGUGAGAGGUGAAAGUUCACACUGUGACGGUAUCUUACCAGAAAGGGACGGCUAACUACGUG